AUUUUAUUGUUCUCCUUGCAAGGCAUCUAUAUCCCAGUGACAUUCAUACCUGUUCCUUACUUCAUGCUAUUUAGUACUUUUACUUCCUGCAUUUUGAUUCUAUGAUCACUUGUACAGGUCUUAAUCUUGGGCUUUGUAUCUAUCCCUGGCUAUUUCAUUCUUUCUGAUGUAUCUAUUCUUUUUCUGUAAGUUGUGGUCUCUUAUUACUCUAUGUAAUUUGCAUGUUAUUUGGUAUAGUGAGGAGAGAAUGUCUUAUUUUGCCAAGUCAUUAAAAUUCAAUUGAACAAUUAUCAUUUUUCUUCAAAUUUCUUUUCUUUGCUUUUAUAGUUAAAUGGGCAGACCCCCAUCAUAAGGUUGCCCUACCGUCAUUGAAUUUGACCUGGAAGGGAUAAUAUCACUUAGUCUUGCAUACUAAUUUUCCAGAUGGAGAAACUGGCAUCCAGAGAAGUGAUGUGUUUUGCCACGUCAAGCUCUCUUCCCUCUUCAUCCCAACUUCUUGGCUUCUCUGCCUUUUUUCAUGUGUCAGCAAAAAUCCCACCUUCUUCAAGAGGACUUUUCCAGACCUUCAUUUCAGUACUAAAGAAAAAAAAGUAGCAGCUAAUAAAUAGAUUGAAACUCUUCAAAGACUAUUUAAAGGGAGAAAAAUCACUACUGUUGGCCAAGAACAAGUUCUGAAAUAGGUAUUGAGGACCUGGAAGAGAAAUCAAUUUGGUGAUACAUUUGUACCAGAACACAGUUAAAGGGAAGCCUUUUUCCAGUGUGAAAUAAGCAAACCGAGAAGAAAGACCUAUCCAAGCAGAAAGUGAAUUAAGAUCCUAUUCCAAGUGGCUCACCUCCUUUCUUCAUUUUCCCUAACAAAGUAAAAAAAAAAAGGGCAAUCAAUAUUUGCUAUGAAUUCCUG
rnacentral:lncRNA from 1 species